GACGAACGCUGGCGGCGUGCUUAACACAUGCAAGUCGAACGGAAAGGCCCUGCUUUUGUGGGGUGCUCGAGUGGCGAACGGGUGAGUAACACGUGAGUAACCUGCCCUUGACUUUGGGAUAACUUCAGGAAACUGGGGCUAAUACCGGAUAGGAGCUCCUGCUGCAUGGUGGGGGUUGGAAAGUUUCGGCGGUUGGGGAUGGACUCGCGGCUUAUCAGCUUGUUGGUGGGGUAGUGGCUUACCAAGGCUUUGACGGGUAGCCGGCCUGAGAGGUUGACCGGCCACAUUGGGACUGAGAUACGGACCAGACUCCUACGGGAGGCAGCAGUGGGGAAUAUUGCACAAUGGGCGGAAGCCUGAUGCAGCAACGCCGCGUGCGGGAUGACGGCCUUCGGGUUGUAAACCGAUUUCGCCUGUGACGAAGCGUGAGUGACGGUAAUGGAUAAAGAAGCACCGGCUAACUACGUG
rnacentral:rRNA from 1 species